UACGAAGGGGGCUAGCAGUUGCUCGGAAUCACUGGGCGUAAAGGGCGCGUAGGCGGAUCUUUAAGUCGGGGGUGAAAGCCUGAGGCUCAACCUCAGAAUUGCCUUCGAUACUGGAGAUCUUGAGACCGGAAGAGGUAAGUGGAACUGCGAGUGUAGAGGUGAAAUUCGUAGAUAUUCGCAAGAACACCAGUGGCGAAGGCGGCUUACUGGUCCGGUUCUGACGCUGAGGCGCGAAAGCCAGGGGAGCAAACGGG
rnacentral:rRNA from 1 species